rnacentral:tRNA from 1 species
GCGAGGGUAGCCAAGCCUGGCCAACGGCGGCGGACUCAAGAUCCGCUCCCGUAGGGGUCCAUGCGUUCGAAUCGCAUCCCUCGCA